UGUAUCAUUUGUAAUAUCUGAAUCAAUAUUUGUUUGCAAUACUUUAAUUGGCCUUGUCUUCAAUUAAAAAUAUAUAAAAAUGUGUUUACAAUAUAAUAUACUUAUGAAAUAAUUAACUAAUAGUGAUACUGACUUUAUUCUAUACUUCUGUGAUGUAGGCUUUCAUAACUCACAUUAUUACAUGACACCGGGUAAAUGUAAAUUUUUACGGGGAUUUACCUAAAAAAUGAAGAAAAAAGAUUUUUAGGCUUAAGUGACAUCACUAUUUGACAAAAUAGUGUUAAAGAAAAAGACUUCCAAAUUAUAUUUUUUCUUCAGUGUAAUUAUCCAUACAGGUGUUAUUUUCUGUAAAGUGUUUUCGAAUCACGACAUUAAUGUUGAUCAAUAAUCGGGCCUGUCAGGCAAUCCACUUAAUGAUAUUACCGAUUACCGCCGCCCAUACUCUCCUGCAACUCAAGAGGAAUCACAGGAGCGUUUUCGGCCUUCUAAGUGUACGCUUACACUUCCAAACUCAAACAAAAAAAUUAAUUUAUUAUGCGUCGGUCAUGGAAAUAUACGAUGAAUUAUGUUAGUACUGAAUAUAUUAUACCGUGGAAUUGUUGAACAAUUUUCAAUUAUAUGUUUUGAUUGGAAGUUGUUAAAUUACUACAGAGAGUACUACAAUGAUUGUAGUUUUGGCAAUAGCCCUGUUAUUGAGUCUACCACAGAACGGGCAGCCCCAUUGCGCCUACGGUAGGAAGCCAGUAUGUGGCAGCGAUGGCUUCACCUACUUCAACAGGUGCGAUUUUGAAGUUGUCAAGGCAAUCCACAGAAACCUUACAAUAGUCCAUUACGGAGCUUGCACUCAUCAGAAAGCCAAUCAGAAGCACAUGUUUUCGGUGUAAUAAUUGACAAGAGUCGUCAUUCAGUUAAUAAAAUAUAUCAUAAUAUAGUGAA